AUUCCCUCGGCGGGCCGAGCCUCCCCUCUCUCCCGCCCCUCCUCCUCCCUUUCCCACCCCUCGGAGUGGAGCUGCACAUGCGGCUGCUCCCUGCUCCGUCCCGCCCAGCCACUGUCGCGCAGGAACGGGUCCCUGCAGCCCCCAGCCGAUGGCAGGACAGUAGCCGCCUGUCAGAGGUCGUGAACGGCUGAGGCAGACGCAGCGGCUCCCGGGCCUCAAGAGAGUGGGUGUCUCCGGAGGCCAUGGGCUACCCGGAGGUGGAGCGCAGGGAACUCCUGCCUGCAGCAGCGCCGCGGGAGCGAGGGAGCCAGGGCUGCGGGUGUGGCGGGGCCCCUGCCCGGGCGGGCGAAGGGAACAGCUGCCUGCUCUUCCUGGGUUUCUUUGGCCUCUCGCUGGCCCUCCACCUGCUGACGUUGUGCUGCUACCUAGAGUUGCGCUCGGAGUUGCGGCGGGAACGUGGAGCCGAGUCCCGCCUUGGCGGCUCGGGCACCCCUGGCACCUCUGGCACCCUAAGCAGCCUCGGUGGCCUCGACCCUGACAGCCCCAUCACCAGUCACCUUGGGCAGCCGUCACCUAAGCAGCAGCCAUUGGAACCGGGAGAAGCCGCACUCCACUCUGACUCCCAGGACGGGCACCAGAUGGCCCUAUUGAAUUUCUUCUUCCCUGAUGAAAAGCCAUACUCUGAAGAAGAAAGUAGGCGUGUUCGCCGCAAUAAAAGAAGCAAAAGCAAUGAAGGAGCAGAUGGUAAGUCUACUCAGUUGAUCCUUUAUCACUUCUGAAUUAUUUGUUAGUAAAAGUAUCCUUUUAAGAACUACCUUCUUGGUAGGGCAUGGUGGCUCACGCCUGUAAUCCUAGCACUUUGGGAGGCCCAGGCGGGCAGAUCACUUGAGGUGAGGAAUUCAAAACCAGCCUGGCCAAUAUGGUGAAACCCUGUCUCUACUAAAAAUACAAAAAAAAUUAGCCGGGCCUAGUCCCAGCUGCUUGGGAGACUGAGGCAGGAGAAUCGCUUGAAACUGGGAGGUAGAGGUUGCAGUGAGCUGAGACUGUGCCACUGCACUCCAGCCUGGGUGACAGUGUGAGACUCCAUCUCAAAAAAAAAAAAAAAAA
rnacentral:sRNA from 1 species